CCAGCUUCCGCCGUCGCUGCGCAGCGUCAGCUCUACUCUGCCUAGUCUUCCUUCUUCAGGUUUCUAUCGCUUGCUAUGAUGAAAUUCACCUGAGACCACAUAGCCAGAGAAGGCCAAACUGAGUUUUGAAUCUAGGCAAUCUUGACCCCAGAGCCUUCCGGCCUAAAGCAUUUGAUUCUGUGAUGUCCCCCCCCCCCAAUCCAUGAUGGCCUCAGAGAAACUCCAUUUUGAACUCGAAGAGGAUCUCUCGGCCUGCUUGUGGAGAGGAAGAGGAGAAAGUGAGAGAGGGAAAACAAGUGAGAAUGAGAGAUGGAGACAGGCUGUCUCAUGAGAGUAUCAACAAUCAGUUUCAAACAGGAUCCAACCACAAAUACUUCUCCACAUGUGACUUGGAACAUCUGUCCUGCUCGAGUACCGUCCAUAUCAGGCGAGAGCUGGUCUGCCUUUGAUUCUUACUCUCCUAAAAUCCUUUGUCCUACUUCCCACACUGGACAUGAGAUAGGGUGAAAACCAUCUUCUCAAGAGCCAGCCUUAAGCAAGUCCUUCGCUUCCCCUCACUGAAGACUGCAGACCCUUUCUGAUGGAGACAAAUGCUGCACUCCAGGGAUAUCACUGACUCAGUGAUUUAUGUGUCAUUUUCCCUAAUGAAUCAAGAUGAAAGCUUUGAUCUAGAAAAAAAAUCCAACCAGCACCUCUUAGCUGAGGAGUUCAUCAUACCUGCCCUGAGCAGAAUGCUUUAAGCAGGAGGUGCACAUUCUUAGGAGACUACACCCUCAGGUAAUGAAGAAAAGGCUCAUGACUGGAAAAAUGAAAAAAGAAAAUGUGCUCAUUCAGUUAGGGGCGCUGAAGCCAAAAGAGGGUGAUCUAGUGGGAUGCGGAGAAUUACGUAAAGGGAACCCAGGAGUCUUACCUCCCCUUUAAACAAUAUCAGUCUUUUUGAAGUUAGACACUAUUAAAAACUCACUGAUGUUGGCUAUCUAAAUAAGUUCCAUGGUGAGUGCUUUCCUAAAAGAAAAAAAUCUUUGGUGAAGCAAAACUAUCCCCAAAUUAUGGUUUCCAAGUACAGAUCUCUAUACCAGUUUUUCUUUAAAUGAGGGCACACGUAGAAAAUUCUAGUUCAUAGGAGAGGUAGAGUCUUCGGGAUAGCACGUAUUUACAAGUAAAUGCUUGUUUGACACUUCAGUUCACCCCUGUGCAAUAGGUAGACACACUACACCUCUCACUACUCCAUGAUUCAUAUGAGAAAAUACACACUUAGUUGUUCUCAGCAAUGAUAACAAGACUCACAAGAAAGCAUUUGCCUCAGCAGGAAACAGAUUUC